rnacentral:rRNA from 1 species
AUACGUAGGGGGCGAGCGAUAUCCGGAAUUAUUGGGCGUAAAGGGCGCGUAGGCGGCCCGGUAAGUCUGGAGUGAAAGUCCUGUUUUUAAGAUGGGAAUUGCUUUGGAUACUGUCGGGCUUGAGGGCUGGAGAGGUAAGUGGAAUUCCCAGUGUAGCGGUGAAAUGCGUAGAGAUUGGGAGGAACACCAGUGGCGAAGGCGACUUACUGGACUGUAACUGACGCUGAGGCGCGAAAGUGUGGGGAGCAAACAGGAUUAGAUACCCUGGUAGUCCACACUGUAAACGAUGAAUGCUAGGUGUAGGGGGUAUCGACCCCUUCUGUGCCGCAGUCAACACAAUAAGCAUUCCGCCUGGGGAGUACGGCCGCAAGGUUGAAACUCAAAUGAAUUGACGGGG